rnacentral:lncRNA from 10 species
GGGCAGUCCUUCAGUGGUUUCACCGUGUUAGCCAGGAUGGUCUCGAUCUCCUGACCUUGUGAUCCGCUCGCCUCGGCCUCUCAAAGUGCUGGGAUUACAGGCACCCUCCUGCUGGGGUCCUCCGACCUCUGACUUGCCGAGUGACACCGUGACCCGAGAUGCACCCUUCGCCCUUGUCUUCAGGACACAACCAGAGAUGGAAUCCACAGGACACAGAACAAAAGGUGUACCAGAGCCAGGCUGGCAGUGACACUCGACAGGCCAGCCCAGCAGGUAGCCCUGCAGCUCCUGCAGGUCAAUCUCGGCCAGUGCAGGCCCAGUCACCACAAACAUGCGGAGCAUGUUGUAGAUACGAUCCAGUGAGAGGCUCUCCAGGUUGGUCAGCAUGGCCUGGAUGUACGUCCAGAAGAGCUGCGGACACAGGCCAGCCCCCGUCAGGCACCUGCAG